GACAGAGGUGCCAAGCGUUAGGCGGAAUCACUGGGCUUAAAGCGUGUGUAGGCGGGUCGUUAAGUGUCUUGUGAAAUCCCCCGGCUCAACCGGGGAAUGGCUGGGCAUACUGGCGAUCUUGAGCAGUCUAGGGGCAGAUGGAACAGACGGUGGAGCGGUGAAAUGCGUAGAUAUCGGGAGGAACACCUGUGGCGAAAGCGGCUCACUGGACCACAACUGACGCUGAGGCGCGAAAGCUAGGGGAGCAAACAGG
rnacentral:rRNA from 1 species